ACGGGUGAGUAACGCGUAGGAACGUGUCCUGAGGUGGGGGACAACCCCGGGAAACUGGGGCUAAUACCGCAUAUGGGCUGAGGCCCAAAGCCGAGAGGCGCCUUUGGAGCGGCCUGCGUCCGAUUAGGUAGUUGGUGGGGUAAAGGCCUACCAAGCCUGCGAUCGGUAGCUGGUCUGAGAGGACGACCAGCCACACUGGGACUGAGACACGGCCCAGACUCCUACGGGAGGCAGCAGUGGGGAAUAUUGGACAAUGGGCGAAAGCCUGAUCCAGCAAUGCCGCGUGGGUGAAGAAGGUCUUCGGAUCGUAAAGCCCUUUCGACGGGGACGAUGAUGACGGUACCCGUAGAAGAAGCCCCGGCUAACUUCGUGCCAGCAGCCGCGGUAAUACGAAGGGGGCUAGCGUUGCUCGGAAUUACUGGGCGUAAAGGGCGCGUAGGCGGCGGCCCAAGUCAGGCGUGAAAUUCCUGGGCUCAACCUGGGGACUGCGCUUGAUACUGGGUUGCUUGAGGAUGGAAGAGGCUCGUGGAAUUCCCAGUGUAGAGGUGAAAUUCGUAGG
rnacentral:rRNA from 1 species